GAUGAACGCUGGCGGCGUGCCUAAUACAUGCAAGUCGAGCGAACGGACGAGAAGCUUGCUUCUCUGAUGUUAGCGGCGGACGGGUGAGUAACACGUGGAUAACCUACCUAUAAGACUGGGAUAACUUCGGGAAACCGUAGCUAAUACCGGAUAAUAUUUUGAACCGCAUGGUUCAAAAGUGAAAGACGGUCUUGCUGUCACUUAUAGAUGGAUCCGCGCUGCAUUAGCUAGUUGGUAAGGUAACGGCUUACCAAGGCAACGAUGCAUAGCCGACCUGAGAGGGUGAUCGGCCACACUGGAACUGAGACACGGUCCAGACUCCUACGGGAGGCAGCAGUAGGGAAUCUUCCGCAAUGGGCGAAAGCCUGACGGAGCAACGCCGCGUGAGUGAUGAAAGUCUUCGGAUCGUAAAACUCUGUUAUUAGGGAAAAACAUAUGUGUAAGUAACUGUGCACCUCUUGACCGUACCUAAUCAGAAAGGCACCGGUAACUACGUGCCAGCAGCCGGCGGAAUACGUAAGGGGCAAGCGGUAUCCCGAAAUAAUGGGCCUAAAGCGCGCCGAAGCGGGUUUUUUAGUCUGAUGUGAAAACCCACCGGCUCAACGUGGGNGGGCCUUGGAAACUGGGAAAACUUGAGUGGAGAAGAGGAAAGUGGAAUUCCCUGUGUAGCGGUGAAAUGCCCAGAGAUAUGGAGGAACCCCCGUGGCCAAGGCCACUUUCUGGUCUGUAACUGACGCUGAUGUGCGAAAGCGUGGGGAUCAAACAGGAUUAGAUACCCUGGUAGUCCACGCCGUAAACGAUGAGUGCUAAGUGUUAGGGGGUUUCCGCCCCUUAGUGCUGCAGCUAACGCAUUAAGCACUCCGCCUGGGGAGUACGACCGCAAGGUUGAAACUCAAAGGAAUUGACGGGGACCCCGCACAAGCGGUGGAGCAUGUGGUUUAAUUCGAAGCAACGCGAAGAACCUUACCAAAUCUUGACAUCCUUUGACAACUCUAGAGAUAGAGCCUUCCCCUUCGGGGGACAAAGUGACAGGUGGUGCAUGGUUGUCGUCAGCUCGUGUCGUGAGAUGUUGGGUUAAGUCCCGCAACGAGCGCAACCCUUAAGCUUAGUUGCCAUCAUUAAGUUGGGCACUCUAAGUUGACUGCCGGUGACAAACCGGAGGAAGGUGGGGAUGACGUCAAAUCAUCAUGCCCCUUAUGAUUUGGGCUACACACGUGCUACAAUGGACAAUACAAAGGGCAGCGAAACCGCGAGGUCAAGCAAAUCCCAUAAAGUUGUUCUCAGUUCGGAUUGUAGUCUGCAACUCGACUACAUGAAGCUGGAAUCGCUAGUAAUCGUAGAUCAGCAUGCUACGGUGAAUACGUUCCCGGGUCC
rnacentral:rRNA from 1 species